GUUAAAAUCUAGUAACAUGUAUU
rnacentral:snRNA from 1 species